rnacentral:rRNA from 1 species
UACGUAGGUGGCAAGCGUUAUCCGGAAUUAUUGGGCGUAAAGCGCGCGCAGGCGGUCCUUUAAGUCUGAUGUGAAAGCCCACGGCUCAACCGUGGAGGGUCAUUGGAAACUGGGGGACUUGAGUGCAGAAGAGGAAAGCGGAAUUCCACGUGUAGCGGUGAAAUGCGUGGAGAUGUGGAGGAACACCAGUGGCGAAGGCGGCUUUCUGGUCUGUAACUGACGCUGAGGCGCGAAAGCGUGGGGAGCAAACAGG